GAGACGUGGAGGCUGCACGGUUUUGUAAGAUGUGCAGGAGCUGCACGCUGUGGAUGCUGCACGCUGUGGAUGCUGCACGCUGUGGACCCCCUGGCCAGAAGCUCCUUGUUCUUACACUGGGAGCCAUGCAACUGUGCGAAGCUGGUUCCUGGUGGAAAGAGGAGCUACCAGGCCUGUUCACUGUCCAGAACUCGGCAAAGCAGAGACAUGGCUCUCUCCUAAGGCACCAGUGCAAGGAGCUUUCACUUCAUGGAUCCCAAAGUGGCCUAUGUAUGGUGGUAGGAUUUUCUCGGCAUCCUUGUCCAUGAAGGACAUGUGUACCUCCUGACAUUAAUGCUGCUUGGGAGCCUUCCCUGCUAGCCAGGAGGCCCCCAAUCUAUCUCACCUCCUACCGCCUCCUUGCCUGUGCCAGGGCUACUGUAUGGGGAGCCGAACAAGACGCCACACAACAGCUACAUGGCAUGAAGAAGCCAAGGCCAGUGAUGGGAAGUGACCACUGUUCCAGGACUUUGAUUAGCUGAGGCCAGAGGAUCCCCACCCUGCCAAUGAAGAAAACCCUAAGAACUUAAUAUUCUUGGAUACUGUCUUAGUUAGGUGUCACGAGUCACGUCCCUACUCCUCAGCUGCAGGUGUUCUUGGGGGUCUAGAAUAUUUGGAAAGUAGAAAGUUACUGGGGGUGGGACUCCAGCCAUGUAGCUUUUGUGCUUCCUCAUCCACGCUGGGGUGGGGAUGUUCAGUGACUGGGCUGCUUUUGAGUCACCUGUGCUCCCAUGAGUCACCCCUCACCUCUGCAUCUAUAGAACCUCAAUGUUAUGGUUUGUAAAUGCUCUGCUCAGGGAGUGGCACUAUUAGGAGGUAUGGCCUUGUUGGAGGGGGUGUGUCACUGGGUGUGGGCUUUAAGACACUCAUCGUAGCUGCCUGGAAGCCAGUAUUCUGCUAGCAGCCAUCAGAUGAAGAUGUAGAACUCUCAGCUCCUCCUGCACCAUGCCUGCCUGGAUGCUGCUAUCUCCCCGCCUUGAUGAUAAUGGACUGAACCUCUGAACCUGUAAGCCAGCCUGAGUUAAAUGUUGUCCUUGUAAGAGUUGCCUUGGUCAUGGUGUCUGUUCACAGCAGUAAAACCCUAAGACACACAAUAAACUCAG
rnacentral:lncRNA from 1 species